CAGUCAGCACCGGGAAGCUCCGGGAACUCUGGGAGCUGUAGUCAGCCCCGGACGAAUGCUGCAAACUUUUGCAAAAGGGUUUUAGUCAGAUUGUUGGCAAUACCAGACGAGAGUGACAACCCGGAGAGUCAUUAGAGCUGCGUGAUGAAACGGGAGUUCACCGGGCUAGGCCCGAGAGCGGGAAUGAAAUCCCUCCCAAUGACAGGCAGAUACUGCGUGUUCAAGAAAGGCGGUUAUAACCAUUAAUAUUUAAAAUCUGAAGCACGGAGCCUGGCAUUCAGCAGGAACCGAAGACGUAAACUGUGGCUUUCUGUCUUAAGCUGGUAUUAUACUUGUUCGUUGUUUUAUUGUUGUAAAAGCAUAAACCUGGAAGUGGCCAAAAUGUCCAUCAAAGGGGCCUGGUUAAAAUAAUAAGCAUAUUCGUCCACACAAUGAAACAUCACGCAGCAACGAAACGGAAGGAGUUAGAUCUCCGUGCUUUACAUAGGUGCUCUACAUGAAAUGAAAACUUGUGCAGGAUUUAAUAUUAGGUUAAAACAAAAAAUAAGUUGCACAAUGAUAUAUAUGGAAUGAUCUCAAAAAUAUGUAUGUACAUAAUUAUACAGAGGCCACAACAGUCUGGAAAGAUGGGCAGUUUCCAAUAAACUGUUAGCAUCCUGUUACCUCUAGGGUAGAGGCGAGUAUCAGUAUAGAGAUUAUAAGACUUUUCAUGUACUUCAAUAUUAGUGGGUUUUUUUUUUUAAUUCCAAGAUGUAUCACGUUAUAACUUUUAAAAGAGGGGGAAAAACUUCAAAAUCCUAAUCCCACUACCAAGAGAGAACCAAUGAUGUAACAUGUUAGUUUUUAUUCUUUGCAUUU